UCUUUACUCUUCUUCUUAUUUUUCUUUUUCUUUUUUAUUAUACACAUGCAUUCACACCUCAACACACCCACAUACUCUUGAAGAACUCUCUUCAUUUGAACAGGGUAUAAAAAGGUAAAGCAUGGGUUUGGCAUGAGGGUUCCAAGAUCAAUGUUGAGGUUGUUCAAUCAGUGAGAUUUUUCCAUGUAAGCGAUAUUGGUCUUGUUUCAAGUUUAACAGUUUGUCGGUUCUAAAUGAAGACCAACUUGUUCAGAUUUUUCUGGCAUAAGCAAUCACAAUUGAAGCCGAUGGACGAGAAGAUAGUAGCUGUCGCACUACAAGCAUUUUAAAAAGUUAUGUGUUACACCAACUUAUUAGAGACCCGAAAAAGCGGCUAACCAGCUAUGAAGUUCCAUGUGAGUUUUUUUUAAAGCUAUAUCAUGUUUUAUAAUUUAGAGAUCUUGACAGUGGUGAAAUAUUUAUGACUGUGAAAAAUCUUUCAAGGUUAGCUCAUUUCUACUUAAAACAUCGAAUAACUAGAUAAAUCAGCCAGAAUGUACAUUGAUUAGUUGGUAGUUUUUUGGCUUUAUCUCGUUAAUAUUGUAUCCAUUAUAUUUUUCUAGAGGCAAAUCAUCUUUCCAACCUGAGUGGCUGCUGCAGUUGGAUAUAGACUUAUUGACUUGAAGCUGAUUUUUUCCUUGUUGGCCACCAUCAUUGCCAUUGUCAUAACUUUCCGCCAGCUAUUUGAGAUUGCCUUUGAUCUUUUCCUUGUUCUUCUGG